rnacentral:rRNA from 1 species
GCCCAAGUGAGAUUAGCUAGUUGGUGAGGUAAAGGCCCGGGAGGCAGCAGUGGGGAAUAUUGCACAAUGGGGGACCUGAUGCAGCCCCGCGUGUGUGAAGAAGGCCUUCUCACUUUCAGUUGUGAGGAAUGUAGUUAAUACCUGCUAGCCGUGACGUUAACAACAGAAGAAGCACCGGCUAACUCCGUGCCAGCAGCCGCGGUAAGGGUGCGAGCGUUAAUCGGAAUUACUGGGCGUAAAGCGCACGCAGGCGGUUUGUUAAGAGGUGAAAGCCCCGGGCUCAACCGGUCAUUUAGAUGCAGACUAGAGUCUUGGAGAGGGGAGUGGAAUUCCAGGUGUAUAGCGGUGAAAUGCGCAUCAGUGGCGAAGGCGACCCUGGCCAAAGAGACGCUUCAUGUAGUGUGGGUAGCGAUGGAUUAGGUCCACACCGUACACGCUGUCUACUAGCUGUUUGUGACUUUAAGUCGUGAGUCGAAGCUCUAUAAGUAGACCGCCUGGGGAGUACGGCCGCAAGGUUUGACUACAAGCGGUGGAGCAUGUGGUUUAAUUCGAUA